AUUGAACGCUGGCGGCAUGCUUUACACAUGCAAGUCGAACGGUAACGGGCCUUCGGGUGCUGACGAGUGGCGAACGGGUGAGUAAUGCAUCGGAACGUACCCAGAGGUGGGGGAUAACGCAGCGAAAGCUGUGCUAAUACCGCAUGUGAUCUGAGGAUGAAAGCGGGGGACCGAGCAGCAAUGUUUGGCCUCGCGCCUUUGGAGCGGCCGAUGUCGGAUUAGCUAGUUGGUGGGGUAAAGGCCUACCAAGGCGACGAUCCGUAGCUGGUCUGAGAGGACGACCAGCCACACUGGGACUGAGACACGGCCCAGACUCCUACGGGAGGCAGCAGUGGGGAAUUUUGGACAAUGGGCGCAAGCCUGAUCCAGCAAUGCCGCGUGCGGGAAGAAGGCCUUCGGGUUGUAAACCGCUUUUGGCAGGAACGAGACGGUGUCCGCUAAUACCGGGCGCUAAUGACGGUACCUGCAGAAUAAGCACCGGCUAACUACGUG
rnacentral:rRNA from 1 species